rnacentral:lncRNA from 1 species
AGUCACGUUACUAAUUAAAUUAAUUCAAGUAAAAUUGGAUGAAUAAUACCCCUCCGUGACGCCCAUGAUCGAAUUAGAACGACUUGUUACCAGAAGAGGGCUUUCGUUCCCACGUUGUCGAUGUGAUCGAUUUUCGAUACGGACAGUAGGUCAGGUAGCUCGCCAUUGAUACGUAGUGAUUUUUGAUAAUUGUGGACGAAUCUGGGAAAAAUAUGGCAUAGAAGUUAAAUAUUCUACAUAAACAUCAUUGAACAACCAAGAAAAGUUACCAGUAAAUCUCUAGAGGGUAUUUAGGAAGCCGAUUGAUAUAAAAGAAUGUAAAAAUAUACCACGUGGAAUUUGCCGUGAGAGAGGUAGUUUCACUACGUAUCAUAUCCCAGGUUCGUCUACAUUCUAUAGUUGUUACAAGCUAUAGUCACCUUUUGUUUUUUUUUGGAAUGGUUUGGAUAACAAUAAGAUAACUCAAGCACCAUUACCUAACCUUACCGUCACCAGCAUAGCAGCCGUUUUUGCUUUAUUCCCAACAGACUUCCAAAUUCGUUGGAUUUUGGGUAGCGCCUUGAAGGAACACCCUUAUAGGACCUUUUUUUUGUGGAAACUUCUGUUGGAUAAGUUAAGUUUUUCUCUAUCUAAAUAUAUUGAUUCUUGCUCUCUUGUAUUUAGAACCAAUGUAAGCUUUUAUAUGCAUAUUUAAGUACCUAUACUACAUAUAGUUUUUGUAGUAAAUAAGGGAGUUUUGAUUAACAAACUGAUAUUUUAAACUGAACAAACCAGGUAAUGGUAAAUAAUAAUAAUAAAGUAAAUUAAUCUAAAAUUUUGUUAAGGGAAGGGGUCAUUAUUUGUAGAGGUUUUAAAUAAAGUGGAAAAGUUUUAUGUUAUAAAUUUUCAAAUAAUAUUUGUAUAAAGAGCAUCUGACCGUACUCAUUUUUUCUUGAUAGCUUUAUAUAUCUCCCAGUGUCUGUGCGUAAACAUAGUAUUUACACACAGAUCUGGCAUUUAGGUAGUUUGGACACUUGUCAGUCCUAUUGAUUAUUAGAUUGCAUAACUAACCUUAGUGUUAAGACCCUCUAGCUUUCUCACGGACUUUGAUUUUGUUUUCCCUAGUACCUUUUGGCUUUGCGCAGUAGCAGUGAUAUUUUAUUUGUUAGUGGCUGUCAGGUCGUAUUCUACUUUAACACCACUCACUGUUACUGUUAAUCAGUUUUAUAUAGAUAUGUCAAGUAUUGAUAUAUAAUAUAUGUUGUUGAAAUAAAUAAGAAUAUAUUUGUUGUUACUA